rnacentral:rRNA from 1 species
UGGGGAAUAUUGGACAAUGGACCAAGAGUCUGAUCCAGCAAUUCUGUGUGCACGAUGAAGUUUUUCGGAAUGUAAAGUGCUUUCAGUUGGGAAGAAAGAAAUGACGGUACCAACAGAAGAAGUGACGGCUAAAUACGUGCCAGCAGCCGCGGUAAUACGUAUGUCACGAGCGUUAUCCGGAUUUAUUGGGCGUAAAGCGCGUCUAGGUGGUUAUGUAAGUCUGAUGUGAAAAUGCAGGGCUCAACUCUGGAUUGCGUUGGAAACUGUAUAACUAGAGUACUGGAGAGGUAAGCGGAACUACAAGUGUAGAGGUGAAAUUCGUAGAUAUUUGUAGGAAUGCCGAUGGGGAAGCCAGCUUACUGGACAGAUACUGACGCUGAAGCGCGAAAGCGUGGGUAGCAAACAGGAUUAGAUACCCUGGUAGUCCACGCCGUAACGAUGAUUACUAGGUGUUGGGGGUCGAACCUCAGCGCCCAAGCAAACGCGAUAAGUAAUCCGCCUGGGGAGUACGUACGCAAGUAU